CUAUGUGUGGUGUAGUAGCAUAGUGAUGUGAGGAGUUAGUUGGUUGUGGAUUCAGUGCAUUAGAUUAGUUCAUACUAGUGUUACUCCACUCAAUGCUUUCUGAUGCUAAGCCUGUACACUGUGCCAACUAUGAGGCACAUUUCGGUUCAGGCACCAAAUUAACAGUUCUCGAGCCAGACAUCCCUGUCACUCCACCCGAAGUCAAAGUCCUUCCACCCUCCACUAAGGAGUGUGAAGAUAGAAACAAGAAGAAGAAGAAGACCUUGGUGUGUGUGGCCACCGACUUCUACCCCGACCACGUCACUGUGUUCUGGCAGUUAAAUGGAGGCGCCAACAUCACCGAUGGAGUGGGGACCGACAACACUGCCUUGAGGGAUGAAAACAGACGCUACAGUAUCACCAGCAGACUGAGAGUCCCAGCCAAGACAUGGAACACGGCCUCGAACAGAUUCACCUGCACCGUCCGCUUCUUCAAUGGGACCCAUGACAUAUAUGUUGCAGAUCACAUUGACGGAGAAGAAGGUGGUGAUGGAGGGAUGACGACAGAGUACUACGUGAAGAGCACCCAGACUGCCAAGCUGGCCUACAGCAUCUUCAUCGCUAAGAGUACCUUCUACGGCCUGGUCGUCAUGGCUCUGAUUUGGAAGUUUCAGCGCUCCUCAGAUAAACAGAUGUAGUUGAUCCCUGACCGAGACCCGGCCACCCGUGGAAGCUGAGCUCGGUGGAGUGGAGGGCGUCAUGUGUGGCAUAAAGCUCUGGUGAAAAGUAGUGC